rnacentral:tRNA from 1 species
GGGCCCAUAGCUCAGUUGGUUAGAGCACCUGACUCAUAAUCAGGGAGUCAUCGGUUCAAGCCCGGUUGGGCCCA